CUGGUCUUGACAUCCACGGAAGUUUUCAGAGAUGAGAAUGUGCCUUCGGGAACCGUGAGACAGGUGCUGCAUGGCCGUCGUCAGCUCGUGUCGUGAGAUGUUGGGUUAAGUCCCGUAACGAGCGCAACCCUUGUCCUUAGUUACCAGCACGUUAUGGUGGGCACUCUAAGGAGACUGCCGGUGACAAACCGGAGGAAGGUGGGGAUGACGUCAAGUCAUCAUGGCCCUUACGGCCUGGGCCACACACGUGCUACAAUGGUCGGUACAGAGGGUUGCCAAGCCGCGAGGUGGAGCUAAUCCCAUAAAACCGAUCGUAGUCCGGAUCGCAGUCUGCAACUCGACUGCGUGAAGUCGGAAUCGCUAGUAAUCGCGAAUCAGAAUGUCGCGGUGAAUACGUUCCC
rnacentral:rRNA from 1 species